GUUGGUGAACCAGCGGAGGGAUCAUUACCGAGUUUACAACUCCCAAACCCCCUGUGAACGUACCUAUCGUUGCUUCGGCGGGACCGCCCCGGGCCUCAGCGCCCGGAACCAGGCGCCCGCCGAGGACCUUAAAACUCUUGUUUUCGUUAGAAUUCUUCUGAGUAACAAAACAAAUGAAUCAAAACUUUCAACAACGGAUCUCUUGGUUCUGGCAUCGAUGAAGAACGCAGCAUCUGACUGACUGGAAGCU
rnacentral:misc_RNA from 1 species